UCCUAAUGCUGUGAACUUUGAAUACAGUU
rnacentral:piRNA from 1 species